ensembl:lncRNA
CCUUAGUGAGUUAUUUGAAUUUAGCUCCUGGUCAGAAUGACCUUAAAGAUUUUAACAGUAAUAAAUCUCAUUUUAAGUCUUGUUUGCAUUCAUAGAUUAGAAGAGGAAAAUUAAACUUUUCUGCCCUUCCUUUUGCCUUCCAGUUUUCAGCUCUGAACAGACAAAUAAGUUAUCCUGAAUUAGGAAAAUAUUCUCUCUGUGCUUUUGGAAAUGACUGCUCUUCCAAACUCACUUCACCUUUACAAAACACCCCUUUCCCCAGGGCACAGUUAAGGAUUUCUACUGGCUCAGAGCUCCCUUUUCUCUUCAAACAUCAGCUCUGUUUUUUUAAACUAGACUAACCUAAUUGGAUAUAAAGAGAAAUCACUCAUAUUUUCAUUUACAUAAAUGAAAAAAAAGGUAAGUUGGUAAAUUUUCUUCCUUGUGGUAAAGAGAGGGAAGGAUUGGUGUUUCCUGCAACUGAGUUCUCCUGGAUACGUUUUUCCUUUGAGCCCUUGUGUGACCCGAGCGAUGACCAGCUGCUGCCCUCAUGGCAGAAGGGAAAUCGGCUGGGGCAAUGACGGUGGCAUGUAAUGUGGAGGCAGCUUGGCCAUGAGGAGCCCUCUCUGCUGUCACCCCUAACAGCGCUGGACAUGCUUCAAGUGAAGCAAUCCCCAUAAAAGGCAAACCUAAUAUGCUCCAAGUCAUCAAAGUGCUCUGACUAUGUGUGUGCUGGGCUUGAGAACUGCUGCAGGGCAGGUGAUUUCCACAGCAGACACAGCCACAGCAGCAUGGCAAGGACAGUGGCCAUGGCCCUCUGAAGCCUAGGCGUUUGUUGUACUGCCCACAAGUAAUAUGCCUCCCUGUGCUUUUCUGGCAGAGAUUGCACCUUCCUGGCCCAAUCCUUAAUGAAAAUCUGAAACUUUAAUGUGGAGUGGGAAGUAGUACUGAUGGCCUACUGUACUGUUUCUGGGCUGAUGGAUGAGGAGUUAAUAAUCCAGUUCAGUACUGCCACAAGAUGUGAGCCAAUGCCUCAGCUUCUGGAGUCACAAGAAAAGUCCCGUCUGUGCUGCAGAAGUAGAACUGAGUAUCAUAGAGGCAUUCACACCCAGUGCUGGAACACUGGUCCAGGGAUCACCCUAAGGAAGAAUCAUUCAGAGUACAUACACAGAUUGCAGGUUUGAGUGCGUGUCUCCAUCCCUACCUACAAACUCCCUGUGACAUAUCUGAGCAUGGCUAUUCAUCCCUGGUAAGACUUGUCUAAGGCCUACCUGCCCUUCAACAUACCACUCUGCUGCCAAGGGACUCUCUGGCACAAGAAUUU